CUACGGGGGGCUGCAGUGAGGAAUAUUGGGCAAUGGACGAAAGUCUGACCCAGCCAUGCCGCGUGCAGGAUUGACGGCCCUACGGGUUGUAAACUGCUUUUGUUUGGGAAGAACCACUCAUACGUGUAUGGGUCUGACGGUACCAAGCGAAUAAGCACCGGCUAACUCCGUGCCAGCAGCCGCGGUAAUACGGAGGGUGCAAGCGUUAUCCGGAUUUAUUGGGUUUAAAGGGUGCGCAGGCGGAUUGGUAAGUCAGUGGUGAAAUACCCCAGCUCAACUGGGGAACUGCCAUUGAUACUGUCAAUCUAGAGUACAGUUGAAGUGGGCGGAAUGUAGCAUGUAGCGGUGAAAUGCAUAGAUAUGCUACAGAACACCGAUUGCGAAGGCAGCUCACUAAGCUGUAACUGACGCUCAGGCACGAAAGCGUGGGGAGCAAACAGGAUUAGAUACCCGAGUAGUC
rnacentral:rRNA from 1 species